rnacentral:rRNA from 1 species
UACGUAGGGACCAAGCGUUGUUCGGAUUUACUGGGCGUAAAGGGCGCGUAGGCGGCUUAACAAGUCACUUGUGAAAUCUCCGGGCUUAACUCGGAACGGCCAAGUGAAACUGUCAAGCUAGAGUGCAGAAGGGGCAAUCGGAAUUCUUGGUGUAGCGGUGAAAUGCGUAGAUAUCAAGAGGAACACCUGAGGUGAAGACGGGUUGCUGGGCUGACACUGACGCUGAGGCGCGAAAGCGUGGGGAGCAAACAGG